CACUAAUAAAUAUAUAAUAUCUUCAUCUGUUAUGAAAAUGAUAAGUAAUACUGGAAUUUCAGCAUCGCUGAUUAGGAUCGCCCUGUCCAAAGCACCUUUACAUAAUGGCCAAGCGACAGACUUGGGAGCAGAUGCGCCAGAUCUUUGUCCAGGCGGUAAACGCCGUGCAUCCUGAGAAGGUAUUCGCUGACUUCCAAAAGUUCGAUUUGCGGCCUCAAAGCGGCGAGAACCCAGCGGAUAUAUCCAUAAAACUCAAUGGAGAGCGUCAGGACAUCAGCGGGAAGAAGUGCCACAUAGUUGGGUUUGGCAAAGCAGUCCUGGGAAUGGCCAACAAAGUGCAGCAGGAUCUGGGAGCCACCUCGGCCGGCGGAGUCCUCAGUGUUCCGGUAAACACCCUGAUGCAGUUCCAACAACCUGUUGCAUCUGGUUUGGUUGUCCACGAAGGAGCGGCCAACAACCUGCCGGAUGAGAAUGCUCUCAAGGCAGCCCGGGAAAUCAAGCAGCUGGCCGAGAAGAUGACCGCCCAGGACAUCCUCUUCGUCUUCAUCUCGGGAGGUGGGUCUGCCCUUUUGCCGUUGCCCCGGUCACCUCUGACUCUGGAGGACAAGCGAAGCAUUGCGGAUAAACUUAUGAAGCGGGGAGCCAGCAUCCAGGAGAUUAAUACUGUUAGGAUUGCUUGCUCGGACAUCAAGGGCGGUCGCUUGGCCAGGCUUGCCGGCAAGGCGGGCCUCCUGGUGACCUUCGUGCUUAGCGACAUCAUCGGUGAUCCCCUGGAGCUGAUAGCCUGCGGUCCCACCAUACAACCCGAGGCGGGAGCAUCUCCAUCCGACAUCCUCAAAAAGCAUCAUGUGUGGGAGGAGCUGUCCGCCGAGAUACAGCGGGUGUUUGAGCAGCCGGAGGAGCAGAUGCACACAUCGCUGCCCGAGCACAAGGUAUUUGUGGUGGGCAGCAAUCUGAUAGCCACUUCCACAGCGGCCAAGGAGGCCGAAAAUCUGGGUUAUAUUCCCUGCGUGCUCAGUUGUGCUGUGCAAGGAGACGUGGCCCAAGUGGCUGGCGAUUAUCAAAGAUUGCUGCACGGCAUCCAGGAGGCCAAGCAGCAGGGCAUACUGGAUCCCCAGCUCAGGGAGAGGUACGCCUUUGGAGAGAGCAGUUAUCCGGCUUUUCGGAGGGCCCUGGAAGAGCACAUGAACAGCAAGAAACCACUGUUCCUGAUCUGUGGAGGAGAGCCAGUCAUUAAAGUUUCUGGUCAAGGAUUGGGCGGCAGGAGUCAGCACUUAGCCCUGCUGAUGUCGCAAGCUCUGCACCGCGACGAGGCCAUACGGAACUGCACCUUCCUGAGCGCCGGAACUGAUGGCAUCGAUGGACCCACCGAUGCGGCCGGAGCUAUGGGAGACAGCAGCGUGGUGGAAUCCUAUCUGGGUGAUCACACCCUCGAUGAACUGGCCGAAACGCUGCGGAAUUGCGACAGCUACAACUUUUACAAGAAUCUCGCGCAGGGAGAGCACCACGUGCUCACUGGACACACGGGUACCAAUGUGAUGGAUCUGCAUUUCCUGGUCGUGCCGUAGAGUAACGCCCCCGCUCGCCCAUAAAUCCAUUUAGUUGUAUACUUGCAUAUAUAUACAUGUAUAUA
rnacentral:misc_RNA from 1 species